rnacentral:rRNA from 1 species
CCUACGGUAGGCAGCAGUGGGGAAUAUUGCACAAUGGGGGAAACCCUGAUGCAGCAACGCCGCGUGGGUGAAGAAGUAUUUCGGUAUGUAAAGCUCUAUCACCAGGGAAGAGAAUGACGGUACCUGACUAAGAAACCCCGGCUAACUACGUGCCAGCAGCCGCGGUAAUACGUAGGGGGCCAGCGUUAUCCGGAUAUACUGGGUGUAACGGGAGCGUAGACGGUUGUGCAAGUCUUAAGUGAACAUCCCGGGCUCAACCGAGGAACGGCAUUGGAAACUGGAGAGCUGGAGUGCAGGAGAGGUAAGCGGAAUUCCUGGUGUAGCGGUGAAAUGCGUAGAGAUGAGGAAGAACACCGGCGGCGAAGGCGGCUUACUGGACAGUAACUGACGUUGAGGCUCGAAAGCGUGGGGAGCAAACAGGAUUAGAUACCCGGGUAGUC